UUUCCCUCAGGUUAGCUGGCACUUGGCCCAGGGCAGUUUUACCCAGUAAAGUGAAUGAUUAGAGAUCUUGGGGCUGAAAUGAUCUCAACCCAAUCUCAAACUUUCAACGGCUAAGGAGGCUGGCUCUCUGGUGUGGAGCUGUGCCAUUGAAUGUGGGUGCUCAAUGGGCCACUUUUGGUAAGCAGUUGCAGAA
rnacentral:ncRNA from 1 species